AAUGAACGCUGGCGGCAUGCCUAACACAUGCAAGUCGAACGAGACCUUCGGGUCUAGUGGCGCACGGGUGCGUAACGCGUGGGAAUCUGCCCUUGGGUUCGGAAUAACAGUGAGAAAUUACUGCUAAUACCGAAUGAUGACGUAAGUCCAAAGAUUUAUCGCCCAGGGAUGAGCCCGCGUAGGAUUAGCUAGUUGGUGAG
rnacentral:rRNA from 1 species